rnacentral:rRNA from 1 species
GGGGAAUAUUGGACAAUGGGGGCAACCCUGAUCCAGCCAUGUCGCGUGUGUGAAGAAGGCCUUCGGGUUGUAAAGCACUUUAAGCGGGGAGGAAGGCCUGAUGGCUAAUAUCCAUCGGGAUUGACGUUACCCGCAGAAUAAGCACCGGCAAACUUCGUGCCAGUAGUCGCGGUAAUACGAAGGGUGCGAGCGUUAAUCGGAAUUAUUGGGCGUAAAGCGCGCGUAGGCGGUUAAGUAAGCGAUCUGUGAAAGCCCCGGGCUUAACCUGGGAACUGCAGGUCGAACUGCUUGGCUAGAGUAUGGUAGAGGGGUGUGGAAUUUCCUGUGUAGCGGUGAAAUGCGUAGAUAUAGGAAGGAACAUCAGUGGCGAAGGUGACACCCUGGACCGAUACUGACACUGAGGCGCGAAAGCGUGGGUAGCGAAC